rnacentral:rRNA from 1 species
GAGUUUGAUCAUGGCUCAGAUUGAACGCUGGCGGCAUGCCUUACACAUGCAAGUCGAACGGUAACAGGGAGCUUGCUCCGCUGACGAGUGGCGAACGGGUGAGUAAUGCGUCGGAACGUGCCGAGUAGUGGGGGAUAACGCAUCGAAAGGUGUGCUAAUACCGCAUACGAACUGAGGUUGAAAGUGGGGGACCUUCGGGCCUCACGCUAUUCGAGCGGCCGACGUCUGAUUAGCUAGUAGGUGAGGUAAAGGCUCACCUAGGCGACGAUCAGUAGCGGGUCUGAGAGGAUGAUCCGCCACACUGGGACUGAGACACGGCCCAGACUCCUACGGGAGGCAGCAGUGGGGAAUUUUGGACAAUGGGCGCAAGCCUGAUCCAGCCAUGCCGCGUGUCUGAAGAAGGCCUUCGGGUUGUAAAGGACUUUUGUCUGGGAGCAAAUACCCGGUGUUAAUAGCGCCGGGGGCUGAGAGUACCAGAAGAAUAAGCACCG